UACGUAGGGUGCAAGCGUUAAUCGGAAUUACUGGGCGUAAAGCGUGCGCAGGCGGUCGUGCAAGACAGAUGUGAAAUCCCCGGGCUCAACCUGGGAACUGCAUUUGUGACUGCACGACUGGAGUGCGGCAGAGGGGGAUGGAAUUCCGCGUGUAGCAGUGAAAUGCGUAGAUAUGCGGAGGAACACCGAUGGCGAAGGCAAUCCCCUGGGCCUGCACUGACGCUCAUGCACGAAAGCGUGGGGAGCAAACAGGAUUAGAAACCCCAGUAGUCC
rnacentral:rRNA from 1 species